rnacentral:rRNA from 1 species
UGGGGAAUAUUGGGCAAUGGGCGCAAGCCUGACCCAGCAACGCCGCGUGAAGGAAGAAGGUCUUCGGAUUGUAAACUUCUGUCAUUGGGGACGAAGGAAGUGACGGUACCCGAUGAGGAAGCCCCGGCUAACUACGUGCCAGCAGCCGCGGUAAUACGUAGGGGGCGAGCGUUGUCCGGAAUUACUGGGCGUAAAGGGUGCGUAGGCGGCGAUGCAAGUCCAUUGUGAAAAGCCCGGGCUUAACCUGGGAGGUGCAGUGGAAACUGCAUGGCUUGAGUGCAGGAGAGGAAAGCGGAAUUCCUAGUGUAGCGGUGAAAUGCGUAGAUAUUAGGAGGAACACCAGUGGCGAAGGCGGCUUUCUGGACUGUAACUGACGCUGAGGCACGAAAGCGUGGGGAGCAAACAGG